rnacentral:rRNA from 1 species
UACGGGAGGCAGCAGUGGGGAAUAUUGCACAAUGGGCGCAAGCCUGAUGCAGCCAUGCCGCGUGUAUGAAGAAGGCCUUCGGGUUGUAAAGUACUUUCAGUCGUGAGGAAGGUGUUAAGGUUAAUAACCUUAGCAAUUGACGUUAGCGACAGAAGAAGCACCGGCUAACUCCGUGCCAGCAGCCGCGGUAAUACGGAGGGUGCGAGCGUUAAUCGGAAUUACUGGGCGUAAAGGGCACGCAGGCGGUUAAUUAAGUUGGAUGUGAAAUCCCCGGGCUUAACCUGGGAAUGGCAUUCAAGACUGGUUAGCUAGAGUCUUGUAGAGGGGGUUAGAAUUCCAUGUGUAGCGGUGAAAUGCGUAGAGAUGUGGAGGAAUACCGGUGGCGAAGGCGGCCCCUGGACAAAGACUGACGCUCAUGCGCGAAAGCGUGGGGAGCAAACAGGGAUUAGAUACC